CGUGGCAUUUUUCACUCAUCUGCGGUAUACUCGACCCCUUUAUCUUGGUAUACUCGGGCCCUUUACCUUGAUUCUGACAGAAUCCUAGCAGAAGUCCGGGGAACGAGGUUGUAGUAACUCUACAAACCUAAAGGGCGAAUGAAGGCGGCCCAUAGACCAUAAAUACCAACACCCUUUUGGCAUGUCACUGAUGCUGUGUUCGUUAUUCUUAUUUACCUACGUUGCCCUUUUCAGCUUGACGAUUACGGGACUCACGUACAGUAAUAAAAGGCAGCCAUCAACCUCAAGCGCUGCAGCCUAUUGGUGAGAAGAAUCGCCUCGCAAAUGUGAAAGAAGUCGAUGUGUUCAACGAAACGAUCGCCAAGAAAUGACACAGAUUCGCAGCGGUUAUUGACUACGACAUGCCAAGUUGAACGCAAGUAUUAUAGGGUAGGUUAUUACGACACUUCAAUUAUUCACUUCUUAAA